rnacentral:tRNA from 1 species
GCCAAUGUGGCUCAGUUGGUAGAGCAGCGCAUUCGUAACGCGCAGGUCAGGGGUUCGAGUCCCCUCAUUGGCUCCA